CCUACGGGAGGCAGCAGUGGGGAAUAUUGGACAAUGGGGGCAACCCUGAUCCAGCCAUGCCGCGUGUGUGAAGAAGGCCCUCGGGUUGUAAAGCACUUUCAGUGAGGAAGAACGCCUGGUGGUUAAUACCCAUCAGGAAAGACAUCACUCACAGAAGAAGCACCGGCUAACUCCGUGCCAGCAGCCGCGGUAAUACGGAGGGUGCGAGCGUUAAUCGGAAUUACUGGGCGUAAAGCGCGCGUAGGUGGCUUGAUAAGCCGGUUGUGAAAGCCCCGGGCUCAACCUGGGAACGGCAUCCGGAACUGUCAAGCUAGAGUGCAGGAGAGGAAGGUAGAAUUCCCGGUGUAGCGGUGAAAUGCGUAGAGAUCGGGAGGAAUACCAGUGGCGAAGGCGGCCUUCUGGACUGAUACUGACACUGAGGUGCGAAAGCGUGGGUAGCAAACAGGAUUAGAUACCCGUGUAGUC
rnacentral:rRNA from 1 species